rnacentral:rRNA from 1 species
UACAGAGGGGGCAAGCGUUGUUCGGAAUUACUGGGCGUAAAGGGCGCGUAGGCGGCCUGUUAAGUCGAACGUGAAAUCCCCGGGCUCAACCUGGGAAUGGCGAUGGAUACUGGCGAGCUAGAGUGUGUCAGAGGAUGGUGGAAUUCCCGGUGUAGCGGUGAAAUUCGUAGAUAUUCAGAGGAACAUCAGAAGCGAAGGCGGCUAUCUGGACCAUUACUGACGCUGAGGUGCGAAAGCGUGGGGAUCAAACAGG